CCGGCCACCGGUUCUUACGUCACUUCCACAAGCGCCGGUGUCCGCGGCUUCGGCCUUGCGGCGGGUUCAAUUCCCGCGUGGGGGGGGUGUUUUGUUUCGUUGGACCUUGACCUGACUAGAAAUCUCUUUCUCCUCGCUUUUCCCGCCUCUAGGUCCUGAACGUUUUCUGUCGCGACGGUUAGGGCUGAGCCUUCGAACUUUGUACCAAAGCCUUGUGAGCAGCUCGGCUGGAGCCCAAGGCCGGGAGUCGUCGGGUGUGCGGACGGGCGCUCCUCCGUGGGGCGUGUGCUCAGGUCUUGUUAACACGGCACCGGAAAGAGGCAGAGGGAGAAGCAGGCUCCAUGCAGGAAGCCCGACGUGGGACUCCAUCCCGGGUCUCCAGGAUCACACCCUGGGCUGAAGGCGGCGCUAAACCACUGAGCCACCCAGGCUGCCCAUAAGACCCAUUUUAGAUGUCUGAAUUAGAACUCUGAAAGCAAGGGAGAAGUCUGAGGAAAAGCACUUUGGGGAGAUCAAUGUAGUAUCACAGUCUUUCCCUUUUUAUCGACCUUGGUUUCUUUCCUGGCAAAGGAAUAAUAUCUUUCUCAUGACCUAACUUACAUGAUUGUAGGUGUUUAGUAUUUGUGGAUUGAGUGAUUCAAAAGAAAAAGCACACCUCCAAAAUCUUAGCAGAAAAACAAAACAAAACAAAACAAAACAAAACAAAACAAAACCAAAAUCUCAGUGCAGAAUGCAUAUGCCAAGUAAAGUCACAAACCGCUUCCAAAGAGUUCUCUUCUCUAUCAAAUGUCUGGAUAACAUACAGUUGCUGAUCCCAGAGCACUCCCUAAUAAACUUCCUGCAUGUUAAUUUCUUCUGAGUCUGUUUCCCAGGGAACUGGACCUACAGCAAAAUCAAUUAUAGCAGCUCUGCUUUUAUCAUUUAUAAAUAUUGGCUAUUCAUGUAAGAUUUCACUUAGGGCAAACCAAAAUAAAAAUCUUUGAAAGCCACUGAUCUAAUGUUUAAGUAAAUGCUCCACCUUAUAUGAAAAAUCAUUAUUAUAGUUUUAUGCAAGAUCAAUGUAAGUUAAUCCUUCCAAACCAACAGCUAAGCCCUGUAUUUUCCUUUUGUAACUGUUUCUUCUUAGCCUUUAUUUGUAUAUUGCAUUUACAUAUAUACUUAUGUGCCUGAUAAAGCUGAAAAUACACUAAAUAAUGAAAUCGUAGGUAUUUUUGGUAUUACAUAUGUAAAACCAAGAAACUAUACAACAGAAGCAAUUGUAGCAGACCAGAGAAGGGCAUUCAGUAGAUGGCAUAUAUACUCAAAUAUUGAUAGAAGUUUUUACAUAUCCCAUCCCCUACUCUCAAAAAAUAACUAAGAGUUUGUCU